rnacentral:sRNA from 1 species
UAUAAACUUUUCUUAAAAAGAAUCUUAAAUCAUUGAAAACUCUGUAAUAAAUCGUAUCAUAAAAUAACAAAUAGAGAAAAUAAACCGCGAUUCCCAAAAUACACCAUAAGCGAGACGGACUUGAGCGACUACACACGAUUCUCACCGUGACCUGGGGAAAAAGGGAAAAAGGGGUGAGUAAAGAAUUACUCAGUGAGAGGAUCCUUUCCGCCCAUUGGAAAUACGAUACACGAUUCUAGCUUUAAACCACAAUCAACAAUCACAUAGAAAAUAGACACAACACUCAUAUAGUCUGAAUCACUAUGCAAAACUAUAACACACAACUCAUUCUUGCUUAAGCAAGAUCUCCACAUCAUUUCCAGGUUCAAUCAUCUCCCUGACCUUUGAACCUAUCUAGUUCCACUAGACUCGUCAGUCUUUUAUUGAGCUACAAAGAACCCGUCAAUUCAAUGUAAACCAUUUUCCACUUUUCCACUGUUACACUUUUCAUCAUCUCAAAAGAUGGUGAUUCCAAUUUCUCAUAUAACACAUAUAAUUACUUGUUAUCACAAGUACAAUAAUUCAAUCAUCAUAUAUUAGUAGAACAAUCAUCAUAUCAUCAAUCCUAAAUAAC